AUAAGGGAAGCCAGACCACGGCUUCACGGCCAAACUAUGUAUGCAGAAAAAAGUAUCAGCUAUCAGACAAGUGAAAAAUAGUUGUCCUUGCUUGACAUGAACAGUCUGGUCAAAUGUAAAACUUAUCAGAGAAUAGUAACAAGCUCAGUGAGAUAAAACGGAAUCAGAUAGCUCAGGUCGGUACAGCAGGAAGUCAAACUUCUCGAUCACGAUAAUAAGUAUCUCCACCAACCACCAAACUUUGACUCGCGACAGAUUGCCAGCAGCAGCAAAAGUACACUUCGCCAUCUCUGACUGGCUCUGGAACAGAUGGAGGGAGGGAGCUCUUAAUAGUUCCCCAACUUCUUGUGUGACAUUGACUGCAGUUCAGCUUCCCUCUAAAACUGGGCCAGAUGGAAAGUCAGACACUCAGCUAGACACUCCUCUCACAGCCAGUUACAGCUAGACUAACCGGAGAAAUCCCAGAAGAGAGAAGGGGAAGGAGGGAAAAGAAGAGAGGAAGAGAAGGAGGGAAAUCGAUUGGAGCUUUAAAAAGAAAGAGAGUUCUCCUUCACCACUCCAGAUGUCUCUGUCCACUCACUCACUCUCUCAACAAAAGACAAACUGGAUGAGAAGCCAGAGAGACAGCGACGUUGGGCAGGUGGAUUACCAGGAGAGGAUAAGACACAACUGAAAGUUUCGAACAGAUUACUAUCUGACACACAGUCUGCUUCCCAAAUGGCCUCCUAUUCCCAAUAUACUGCAUACCCUAUGGGUCCUUGUAAAAAGUAGUGUACUAUAUAGGAAACAAAGUGCCAUUUGGGACACAACCACAGACUAAAAAGUAAUCAUCAGAGCCACUGAUUAACACCUUUCUCCUGCAGAAGCACUUUCUCACAGAACAUUCAAUCAAAGCUGAUAGGCCACUGGUAUCCAUGGGGACACAUGGGAGCCGUGAUUAUCAAAUGAAUACUUUGAAAGUCAAACAGGAAAACAGACCAAAAUUCUGUUUGCAUGUGUGUGGCUGACAAAAGCUAUCUAGCUUCAUUUUUGAAAGUUAUAAUGUUAUAUAAUACCAUGUCAUUCUAUGUGAAACACAAGGGCUACUUUAAAAAAAGAAAAUCAGAUACAAUACAGUUUUGUGGUGUUGUGUAACACGUGUUUUUUUAUGGAGCAGGUAUACCAACUAUCCACGUCAUGUCCCUGUUACAGGAUACCACCAGACAAAACAGGAAGCACAUUGAAGACAAGAAAACCCCUGCCUCACUUCUCGUUUCUCUUUGGCCACCUGGAUAAUGUACUCUCAGAUGCUGCUCUGAAUGUAGUGGACUGAGAGGGUUGUGUGUGCGUGUAUGUGUGCUUGCACAUGCAUGUGUAUAUGUGUGUUUAAAGCAUUUGUGUAUCAUUUGUAAACUAGUCUCCAUAUUGCUCCAGGAGUGUUGGUCUGGCCUGGUCUGUUUUCCCUUAGUGUAGAGAGAGCGGGAGACAGGGAUCAGGGGGUGAAAGGUCACAGGGAGGACAGCUUGACAGAUGGAGCUGAGGUGGAGCUGGUGUCAACACAGGGCUGGAAGGGAGUGCCAUUUCCUUACUGAUCUCUAUCUAUUAACACAAUACACCACCUGGCACACACAUACUGUACUGUACAACCACACAAAAACACACACACAACUCCCACUCGAAUAAACAUAAUUCACUUCAAAAAACAAAACACAACCCACAUUCAAGACAAGAACACCUCAAACGCACGUACACAAACCCUUUCAUAAACACACGAGCCAUUCACAUUCCCCCCCCCCCCCCCCCCACACACACACAC